rnacentral:lncRNA from 1 species
UUCCCUAUUAUUUUCUAUUAUAUUUAUCUGCUUUUCUAUUACUAACCAUUAACAAAAAUGGACCCUUGGUAAUACUAAACAUAUUAUCAGUGGGAGACCGUUACUAAUACUAACAUUUUUCUUAUUUUAUUCGGUGGUGGUUUUAACCCCACAUUUAUUUACUGUAUGGUGUAGGAUUAUUACCCAUACGACAGUAUUUAUUUAAAAGGGUGGUGCGGGUUUAUCGUCCACGCCUUUACUUUUAUUUAAAUGUAUGGAGUAGAAUUAGUGCCCAUACAAGCACAUUUACUUUACCGCACAUUUAAUUUUAUUUAAGGUAUGGUGCGGGAUUAACGUCCAUAUAGCAAGCAAUUUAAAUUAUGAAUUUACUUUACCGCACAUUUAUUUUAUUUACUGUAUGGUGUAGGUUUAUUACCCAUACAACAAUAUUUAUUUAAAAGGGUGGUGCAGGUUUAUCGUCCACGCCUUUAUUUUCAUUUAAAAGUAUGGAGCAGAAUUAGUGCCCAUACACGCACGUUUAAUUUAUGAAUUUAAUUUACCGCACAUUUACAUUUAUUUAAAGUGUGGUGCGGGUUUAUCGUCCAUACCAGUAAUU